rnacentral:rRNA from 1 species
AAACUGAAGAGUUUGAUCAUGGCUCAGAUUGAACGCUGGCGGCAGGCUUAACACAUGCAAGUCGAGCGGAAACGAAGAUAGCUUGCUAUCAGGCGUCGAGCGGCGGACGGGUG